rnacentral:rRNA from 1 species
GCACACUUGUUUUCAAGUUCAUAAUAAAUUAUUAUUUUGUUAUUAUUGACAGAUUCUUUUUAUUUGAAGUUUUAAGUUUUUUUUGUUAAAUGGUAUUUAAUGUAACUUACUUACGCUUGUUUAUAGGCUACACCUUGACCUGAUUUAUUAGUGAGUUAUUUAGACUAUUUUUAUUAAUGUAAUCUUUGAACGGCGGUAUGUAAGCUUUAAAAUAAGUAAAAUUUAUCGGGGAGUAUCGAUUAUGAAGCAAGUUCCUCUGUAAAGUACUAGUGCCGCCAAACUACAUAGGUUUGGGUUAAUCCUACUACCUAAAGAGAAGUAUA